CCUUAGUAACGGCGAGUGAAGCGGCAACAGCUCAAAUUUGAAAUCUGGCUCUUUUAGAGUCCGAGUUGUACUUUGCAGAGGGCGCUUUGGCUUUGGCAGCGGUCCAAGUUCCUUGGAACAGGACGUCACAGAGGGUGAGAAUCCCGUACGUGGUCGCUGGCUAUUGCCGUGUAAAGCCCCUUCGACGAGUCGAGUUGUUUGGGAAUGCAGCUCUAAAUGGGAGGUACAUUUCUUCUAAAGCUAAAUAUUGGCCAGAGACCGAUAGCGCACAAGUAGAGUGAUCGAAAGAUGAAAAGCACUUUGGAAAGAGAGUCAAACAGCACGUGAAAUUGUUGAAAGGGAAGCGCUUGCAGCCAGACUUGCUUGCAGUUGCUCAUCCGGGCUUUUUUGCCCGGUGCACUCUUCUGUAGGCAGGCCAGCAUCAGUUUGGGCGGUAGGAUAAAGGUCUCUGUCACGUACCUCCUUUCGGGGAGGCCUUAUAGGGGAGGCGACAUACUACCAGCCUGGACUGAGGUCCGCGCAUCUGCUAGGAUGCUGGCGUAAUGGCUGUAAGCGGCCCGUCUUGAAACACGGACCAAGGAGUCUAACAUCUAUGCGAGUGUUUGGGUGUCAAGCCCGAGCGCGUAAUGAAAGUGAACGGAGGUGGGAACCCGCAAGGGUGCACCAUCGACCGAUCCUGAUGUCUUCGGAAGGAUUUGAGUAAGAGCAUGGCUGUUGGGACCCGAAAGAUGGUGAACUAUGCUUGAAUAGGGUGAAGCCAGAGGAAACUCUGGUGGAGGCUCGCAGCGGUUCUGACGUGCAAAUCGAUCGUCAAAUUUGGGCAUAGGGGCGAAAGACUAAUCGAACUAUCUAGUAGCUGGUCUGCG
rnacentral:rRNA from 1 species